rnacentral:rRNA from 1 species
UACGGAGGAUGCAAGCGUUAUCCGGAAUUAUUGGGCGUAAAGCGUCCGCAGGUGGUUAUCCAAGUCUGUUGUUAAAGCGCGAGGCUUAACUUCGUACAGGCAGUGGAAACUGGGUGACUGGAGUAUGGUAGGGGUAGCGGGAAUUCCCAGUGUAGCGGUGAAAUGCGUAGAUAUUGGGAAGAACACCAGCGGCGAAAGCGCGCUACUGGGCCAUUACUGACACUCAUGGACGAAAGCUAGGGGAGCGAAAGGG